GACGAACGCUGGCGGCGUGCUUAACACAUGCAAGUCGAACGGAAAGGCCCUGCUUGCAGGGUACUCGCGUGGCGAACGGGUGAGUAACACGUGGGUGAUCUGUCCUGCACUUCGGGAUAAGACUGGGAAACUGGGUCUAAUACCGGAUAGGAGCCAUCUUUCGUGUGAUGGUUGGAAAGUUUUUUGGGUGUGGGAUGAGCUCGCGCCCUAUCAGCUUGUUGGUGGGGUAAUGGCUUACUAAGGAGGCACGGGGUAGCGGGCCUGGGAGGGUGGCCGGCCCCAUGGGGCUGGGAAUCGGGCCCAGCCCCCUCCGGGAGGCAGAAGUGGGAAUAUUGCACAAUGGGCGCAAGCCUGAUGCAGCGACGCCGCGUGGGGGAUGACGGCCUUCGGGUUGUAAACUCGUUUCGCUAGGGACGAAGCUUUUUGUGACGGUACCUAGAUAAGAAGCACCGGCUAACUACGUG
rnacentral:rRNA from 1 species